CUUGCUUAAACAUAAGAGGUCCAGCCUGCCCAGUGAUAACAUUUAACGGCCGCGGUAUUCUGACCGUGCGAAGGUAGCAUAAUCACUUGUUCCUUAAAUAGGGACUCGUAUCAACGGCAUCACGAGGGCUAUACUGUCUCCCCUAUCCAAUCAGUGAAACUGAUCCCCCCGUGAAGAAGCGGGGAUUUAAUUAUAAGACGAGAAGACCCCAUGGAGCUUUAAACCCAACAUGCACCCCUUCACUCAAACAUCCACUCAACCUAGGACCCUGUAUGUUGGUUUUGGGCUGGGGGGACCACGGAGAAAAAUCAAACCUCCACAACAAAUGGGCUAAUACCCUUAUCCACGAUCUACAAAUCCAAGAAUCACUAAUAUGAUGUUUAAUGACCCGAUAACUCGAUCAAUGAACCA
rnacentral:rRNA from 3 species